UACAGAGGGUGCAAGCGUUAAUCGGAAUUACUGGGCGUAAAGCGCACGUAGGUGGCUUGAUAAGUUGGGUGUGAAAUCCCCGGGCUUAACCUGGGAAUUGCAUUCAAGACUGUCUUGCUAGAGUGUGGAAGAGGGAAGCGGAAUUCCAGGUGUAGCGGUGAAAUGCGUAGAUAUGACAUAGAACAUCGAUUGCGAAGGCAGCUCGCUACGCUAUUAUUGACACUGAGGCACGAAAGCGUGGGGAUCAAACAGG
rnacentral:rRNA from 1 species